GCCUGGAUUGCAGACUGAUAAGACCUCGCUGGCUCACACAGUGCACAGGGCCCUGUCUGAGUUAGGGGCGGGUCUGAAUUGAGGGAAUACUAUUUGCCUAGUAGAAGUUAUAUGUGUCAUUAAAGAGAUUGUGAAAUUUGUAUCAUCUGUGGGAUUAUCAUUCUCCCAGCUACCCAGGCUGGAAAAAUUAGAAUCACUUUUAAAUUUUUUCCUUCCCUUUAUGCCCUAGAUAGAAGCAGUCACCAAGUCCAGCAUUGAAAACCAUCCCUCUCAGUGACUGCCUUCCUUUUGGGCCCUGCCGUCUCCAUGGCAUGGGUCAUCAUCGGGGAGGCAGCCGGAGGGAGGAUCCAUGGAGAUGGAGAAAGAGGACUCCCCAAGGGAAGAAUGAAGGAGGGAAGUGGCCAAGGCCCCUGCCAGGACCUUUGCGUGUGUUAUUUCACUCCAGCCUCACCACCUGUGUCACCCCCGUAUUACAGAGGAAGAAAUGGUCUCAGAGAAGGUAAGGAACAUGGUUUUCAGAACUUGUAAACAGUGGAGCUGAUUUCAAACCCAGGCGUGUCUGACUUGAAAGCUGUUGCCCUUUCUGCUACCCCAGGCUGACCUGUCGGGCUUGGCCUCGCUUUGGAGACACUUCCUCUUUAAACCCUGAUCAUUUCUUCCCGAGAGGGCUUGGCACAAGGAGUUGGAUCCUGGACCAACUCCACGGCUGUGUUCCUGGGGUUUGUUGCAGACUGAGUUUCCACGUUCUUGCCAUUACCCAGCUCUGGGCUGUGGUAUCAGAUGAGCCGCGGCUUUUGGCUCCCUGAGCCUGGCCAAAUGGCGCUGGCUGUGGUGCAGUCUACUUUCUGUCCUUGCAGGUAUGAGUGUGGUGGGAGCUCAGCACCAAACCCUAUCACCUUCCUUCUGUCAGGCAGCUGUCAUCGCCCCCACAGGCCUUUUCUUCACAGCUUGUUGUCAGGAGGCUGGCCAACAUCUUGGGAAGGUGAGAGAGGAAAUUGGGAGGCUGGGGCUGGAGGGAAUCCUGCCACCAGCGUUCUCUCUUCCCCUAGGUCUGAUGGAAAUAACACUGCUCCGGCACCCGGAGACCUGGCUGUGGCCCAGCCUCAGCUGCAUGUCAGCGGCAUGGCCCUGGAGACGACCCUGUGGGAGGCGACUGUCUGCUAUGGCGGAAGCCCGGGACACCCCUUCCUCGGGGAGCCUUUCCUUUCUCCUCUGGUGGCGAGGCUGAUGCCUCCUCCCUGACUUGGUGAGGACCGAGUGAAGUGGGAUAUGUGCUGUGCCUUGGAAACCGUCAAAUACCACCUAAAGUCUAGUGUCUUCAGUGAACUUCAGCCCCAUCCUGUGGCCUCCAGUUGUGUGAUACUAUCAGAUGGCCCCUUGCUGCUGGAGUGGAUGUUCUUGGCAAUGAAAAGAAGAAGUGGGGGCAAAGGUGAAGUAUGGGGCCUAGAUGCUUCUAGCAGUUUAGAUGAUGACUUCUCAGGAACUUGUUGUUAACUGCUCUGCACCCCCUGCGUUGAUUAGAUUCUGGUUCUCUGGGGCCAGUUUCUUCAUGCUGUCUGGAGCCCCAGCUUCGCACCUGGCUGACUCACCUUUUGCACUGAGUUCAGCACUGGAGAUGGAGAGGGGGUGGGGAGGAGAGGAGAAAUUUUAGUGCUGUAUGAAUUCAGUUGGAAAAAUAAUCAUACAGGAUUUAAGCAAAUCUCAUAUUGCCCCUGGAAUGGUUUUAGGUUUUUUUAUAAAACCCAACCAGCGUCAGCUGAUGCCCCAUCUCUUCAAGGUCAAACAUUCCAAGAUUCUAGAGCAAAGCUGUGUUCCCAGAUUUGUCUAGAAGCCCUUUCUCACCCCUCACCUUAACUGACGCCUGGAUGGUCCCCAUGAGGGAUUUCUUUUGCAGCCUCUCCCAAGCCUCCCAUUUGGAGAGUGGGGCUGCCCAGUUCCUUCUCUCCUGGUGUCACUUUGAGAUUACUGCUCAGAGGAACUUAUUCUUUUCUCAAGAGACUGUUUUCUUUUAAAGUUCACAAUGUUCAUUUUUUUCUUUGUUUGCUGCAAGGAGAACUCUGAUUCUGACUGAAAUUCUGCCAAUUAGAAAGAUUGUUUUCCAAUCGUCUUGAAAUUUUUCAGAGUUGCUCAAAGUGUUGGGAAAAUUGGAUGCCAGAAUUUGUAGAUCCCUGGCCGACCAAGAGACAUGGGCAGAAGGUGACCUGGUCUUCAGAGCUCUCACAAGAUCUCUGAGAGAGACCGGUAUGACAGUCCUUGGGGACCUUCCCCCUUUAUAAAUGCUGUGUUCAUUUUUUAAUAAGAUAUUUGACAUAUAUAAAAAUAAAAUAUAAUGUAUGUAAGGUGAAAAAAAUACUCCUGGACCACUCGCCCAACUUGAGAAAUAGAACGUUGCUGGAAUGAUGAAGCAGCCGCGGGCGCUCGCUGCUGGUUGUCCCCUCACCAAGAGGAACAUGUGUGUCUGUUGUUCUCUUGCCUGUCAUUGCAGUUUGAAAACGUGUUUAGUAAAAUGAAUAUAUUUGAUAAUUUUGUGUGCAUUUGAACUUUAUGUGAAUAGUAUCACACAGGGUAAUUUUUUGUGCCUUCUGUUUUUCAGGUUCAUCUGAAUUGAUGCCUUUAGCCAUAGUUAAUUCAUUUUUGCUGCUGAAUAGUAUUCCGUUAUAUGACUAUGCCACACUUUUUUUUACCAUCCCCUGCCUGUGUGCAUUUGGCUAUUUCCCAUUAUGCUAUUGAUAGUAAUGCUGCUGUAAAUAUUCUUGGCCAUGUUUCCUGGGCACGUGGACGAGAUUUUCUCCUGGGUCACAGUAUUUCCUUUUACCAUUUUCUCUAUAUUCUCAUCUUCUCUGCUAGGAUUCUCUCCUUCUUCAGUGAUGUCAUUUCUGGUUAUUGUCCUCAGAGACUCUGCUGCACACACCGAUGGUAUAAACGUAAACAAGCCACAGUGCCUUUCUUUGGUCCGCUCCAGGGUGGCGGAAUAACUGAUCACAGCAGUCACGUUGUGACCCACUUGAAACCCCGACGCUGGAUUCUUGGAGACGACUAUCUCGCCUCUGCCUUUCCCUGAAGAACUUUGCUGCUUUUACCAACAUCUCUCAUCAUUUGACUUCUGCCCCAGCCUCUGUGGAAGAUGCCCUCUCAGAGCUCACCAGUGACCUCCCAAGGAUCAAGGCUGAAGGCUGUGUCAUUGUCCUUCCUCACCUGGCUGCACCCCUGCCGUCUGAAACUCCUUCUUUGGUUUGCACAGCAUGCCACUGCCCCGAUCGUCCUCCCGACCCGUUCCUCGUCUGCCUUAUACUUCUUGUCUGUGUACGUUCCUUAGGUUCUACCUCGGAGAAAUCAUCCAUUCCUUCCAUUUUAGCCAAGACACAACCAUCUAACCCAGGAAAUUAACAUUAGUACCAUUUAACUCUCAGACCCUGUUUGAAUUUUACUUAUUGUCUGAGUAACGUCUUUUACAGCAACAGGACCUAACCUAGGAUCAGUCAUGUCUCAAUCUCCUUCAGUCUGGAUUUGUUCCUCAUCUUUCCUUGACUUCAUGAUCUUGAUGGUUUUGAAGACACAAGUCCAAUUAUUUUGUCAAAUGUCCCUCAGUUUUGGUUUACUGAUGUUUCCUCAUUAGAUUUAAGUGAUACGUCUUUGCUAGGAGUAUUCCAGAAGUGAUGCUGCAUUCCUUUCAUUGCACUACUAAAAGGCGUAGGAUUCAAAUGUAUCCCAUUACUGAUGACAUUAAUUUUGAUCGCUGGAUUAAGAUUGUAUCUCUCAGCCUUUUCCACUGUGAAAUUACUUCUCUCCUCUUUGUAGGUAAUGAAGUAAUUAAUGAAUAUAUAUGGGAAGCUGCUUUGAGACUCUGUAAAUAUCCUGUUAAUCAUCAAACUUUCAAUUUACUCUUUAUUUAUGUCAGUAUGAACUCAUGAAUUGCUAUUUUAUUCAAUGGAUUUUAAUCUAUUGUUAUUUAUUAUCAUCGUUUAUUUUGGUACUGAAUUGUCAAGCUGGCUUUAGAGUCCUUUUGACAUGUUCUGUCGUUCUUUGAAAACUGCCUUAUUUUCUGGCACAAAAAGUUGUUUCAGGUUCACCUUUUACUUUUUCUAUUCGGUCUUAGAAUUAGCCAUUUUUUUUUAAGGAAUGCGGUAUUCUUUUAGUGAAAAAUGGUAUUUAGAACCCAAAAUCUGGGUUCUUGAUGAGUUUGCUGCUGUUGGGGUGUUAUUGCUCCCACCCUCUCUCAGAGGGAAGAGCUAGGGAAUACACACAUUUACAUCUCUAUUUCUCUCUAUAUUGAUAACUAUGAGUUCACAUUUAUAUCUCUAAUUCAAAUCCAUAGGGUUCACUCUAGUUUUCUCCCUUUCCAUUUUCGUAACUGUGAUGGUUAAUUUUAUGUGUCAGUCUGACUGGGCUACGGGGCCCCCAGAUACUUGGUUAAACAUUAUACCGGUGUGUCUGUGAGGGUGUUUCUGGAUGAGAUAAGCAUUUGAAUUAAGUUUAGUAAAGCUGAUUGCCCUCCCCAGUGUGUGUGGGCCUCAUCCAACCCACUGAAGUCCUGAAUAGAACAAAAAGGCUGAGUAAGAACGAAUUCACUCUCUGCCUGACUGUCUUCGAGCUGGGACAUUGGUCUUCACCUGCCUUCGGACUUGGACUUGGACUUGGACUCAGGCUGACAGGUACACCAUUAGCUCUCCUAGUUCUCAGGCCUUUGGACUGGAGCUACACCAUUGGCUCUUCUGGGUCUCCAGUUUGCCAACAGCAGAUCUGGGGACUUCUCAGCCUCCAUAACCACGUGAGCCAAUUCCUUAGGAUAUAUCUCUUUAUAUCUGUAUUAUCUGUAUCGACAUCCACAUCUACAUCUAUAUCUAUAUUUACUUCUCCUGUUGGUUCUGUUUCUCUGGUGAAUCUAGACUAAUACAGCAUCCCAGUGAAAAGCCUGGGUUCUAUAAUUUUCAAUAUAUUUACCUGUUUGAUCAAUUGUCCUUUAUGUUAAUGAAUUCCCCUCAUUGCCACCACUCAACUCCUCCUUCAUGGAGAUCAUCCUUACCUCUCUGAGGCUCUGACAACGUGUGCUGUGUUGCCCUUUUGUACAGAUGGUCUCUUUGCCUAAGUUGGGCUCUGAGACCCCUCGGAGGGCCCAGGUCACCCUCUUAUGCUGACACCUGACACCCCUGGCUCAGGUUACUGUUCCUUCUCCCAUAGUGUGAAUGCCUACCUUCUCAACUCCACCAAUAGCUUUAGGACUGAAUUGUUCAGGAAGGAAAGGAAAGGGAAAGAAGAGAAGGGGAGGGGAGAGAAAUGGUAGUGAAGAGAAAGAAGAAGAGGAACAGGAAGAGGGACAUAAUUUUUCUUUCAAAAUCUAGUUCCUUCCUUCCAACUAUUUGCCAUUGGCACUGAUGCAUCCUACAGGCACUUUAAAAUCUACAUACCUAAAACUGCUCAUGUUUCCUUUCCAGUAAAACCUUUCUCUCUUCACUCUCCUAUGCUGCUGAUGGGAGUAUAAAUAGUUUAUUCUUUCUGGAGGACACUUUGGCAAUAUGGUUCAAAAGCCUUAAAAAAAAAUCCUAUGUUUCUUUUGACCUUGAAUUAUACUUUUAGGAAUUUAUACUAAAGAAAUAAUUAAAGAUGUACAGAGACAUUCAGAUUUAAGGAUGUUAAUUAUAGCUAAAAUUGGAAUUAUACAGAAUGUUUUGCAUGAGGGAGCAGAUAAAUUGGGAUAAACCCAUAAGUUAGGAUUCUAUGUCAUCAGUACAAUAAUGCUGAAUUACAAUCAUUGAUAUGGAAAGAUGUUCACUAUAUGAUAUUAAGUGAAAAAAACUGAUAAAAUGGAAUUAUCCCAAUUUAUUAUUAAAAUAUUAGAAAUAUAUAUGUAUAGGAGAAAAAACUUAGGAUGGUAUAUCAGAAGGGAAUUUUAAUAUUGAGAUUAUGGACUUUUUUUCACUCAAUAUUUUUAGUCUUUUCUUCACCAAAUACUUUUAUUUAUACAAAAAUCAAAAGCUACGAAAAGAAAACUACAUAGGUCUUUGUGCUGAAUUUGCCAUUUCUGUUAAAUGGUACAGCUGUUCUUGAAGUCUUCAGACUCUGAAUCAUCGCUGAUGUCUCCAUCUUAUCAGUCACAGAGUCCUCUAGAUACUCUUUUCACAAUAUUUCUUGGGGUGCCCCUUCCUUCUAUUUGCCUGCCACCACUCCAGCUCAGACCUUGUCGUGUCAUACCUGGGCCAUUUCACAGGCUGCAUUGACGGAGCUCUCUACUCUACCCUGAUCCAGGCAGCCAGAUGAGUUUCCCUGAGGCAGUUCUUUCAUCACAUUGCUCCCUGCGCAGAAAUCUCUGGUGGUUCUUCUCUGCAUCUCCAAUAAAGGCUGGAUGCCUUAGCUCAGGCUUCCAUAACCUGGUCCCACCCAGUGUUGCAGUAAUCAUACUCAAACUCUAUGCUCCAGCAACAUUUUCCAGCUUUACUUUCUAUGAACAUAUAUUGCAUUUUCCUGACUCUGUGGUUUGCUCAACUACUGGUCAUUCUGGAAUCACCUUUUCCCUCUACUUUUACUUCUGCUCAUUCUUUAGUGCCCGACUUACAUGUCACCUCUUCUAUGGUCUCUCUCCCCAGGGGCCCCAUUGGAUGUAAUUUUCUCAUCUCUGAACAGUCUAGCAUUUUGUGUCACUCCCAUUUUAUACACCAUAUUCAGCACUCUAUUCUUUCUUCAGUUGGGCAAACUUUCUUCCCCUUGGGUAUAGUCAGUCCAUUCUAGAAUUUGAGCCUUCUUCCUUGGAAUUCCUUAUGCUUGGCUCAACCUUCCUAUCUAUUUUAUGCCCCACUCUAUGUUACAGAAAACCCUAAAUUGAGAUCAUAAGACUUAGACUUGAUCUUCUUAAUCUUCUUCCUUGAAAUUGUCUGCUUCUCAAUUCACUAAAACAUGGUUUCUGCCCCUCUAAAUGCUAUCAAAAUUGACUGGCGAAGGUCAUCAUGAACCCCAUUUGCUAAAUCUAAUAAACUCAUGUAUGAGAGGGAGUGCAGUGCAGGAGGGCUGACUGACGCUGCAGCUGGAUGGACUAGGACUGGAGCCCAACUUCCCCUUUUACUGUCUCUAUCUUGUACGAGUUACCUGACUUCUUCAAGGACUAGUUUCCUCAUCUUUGAAGUGAGGAGGAAUAAUAGUGCCUUCUUACAAAGAUUGUUGUAAAAAUUAAAUGAGAUGAUGUUCAUAGAGUGUUUGCACAGUGUUGGACACCACGAAGUGCUCUGUAAAUAUUAGCUGCUGUAGUUAUUGCACCAUAAAGUCUAGGACCAUUGCACUGGCUCUGCCUACCCUUCUUCACCCUCAAUUCUUGUUGAAGCCCUUCCUUCCUGCCCAUCCCAUAUACUUUAUGCUUCAGUUAUGGAAGACUGCAUAUAGGCUCCCAAACACACUCACUCUGGCCCUUCUCUGAGUUUUUGUGCUUGCUCUUUCUUAGACCAAGAAUCUCCUUUACCCAUUCCUUAUUUGCCCAGUAGACUCCUAUUCAUCUUUUGAAACCUAAUUCAUAUGUCACCUUCUAGUAAAGCCCGCCCUCCUUUUCCCCAGUCAAGGAAUUUACUUUCUCCUCUAUGUAAUCUUUGUACCUUGCAUGUGUUUCCAUUGUUGCUCUUACCACAUUGCACUAUAACUUCUGUGUUUACACUGACAUCCCCCAGCUGUAAACUCCUUGACUCUGUUCUCUUUUCGGUUCCUACCACAGCGUGUGGCACAUACUAGACACUCAGCAAUAUUUGCUGAAUGAAGUGGAAGGAGGCAAAGCUGGGAAACGGCAGAGGCAGGACUCGAAGUCAGGACUUCUUACUCCUAGUCCCGUGUGCUCUCACUGACCUUCCCCCAAAGCCGCAAGCACAUUGAGUCAGUUGUGCAGGUUGUCAUCUACUGUCUCGUGGCCGUGGACUGACCCUGAGAGUGAGAUUUAUUGCCUGGUAUUAGAAAAGCUUUAGAUUCCAGCUCCUCUCAAAGGAGUUGUGCAAAGAAGGGACUAAAGGACGUCAGAAAACAGUGGGCAUGUGGAAGACUCUGAGGCUGAAGGCAGGAAUCUUCCAAGACCCCAUCAAAAGCAAAAUGAAAACUCUUUUUAAAAGCUCAGUAAAAAGAGAAAGACACUUAAAAAAUUGAUAUUAACGUGAUCUCCAGGCUGUGUUUAUUGAAAGAAUCUUAGGUCCAUAAUCAAAACAAUGUUUUAUCAUUUCCCCUCCAGGCUGGUCACAAGCUACAAACUGGAUCAUUUGACACAUCUCUCGUGCACUUGAAACUCAAAUUGAAACUCUGCCAUUUUAACUGUACAAAGAAAAAUAACUUUUCAAAGCCCCACAUAUAUAUUUUUCUGAUUCAUCCUUUUGAUAUUUUACUUGGACCAAAACCCAAAUUCACUUGGUUUUCUCCAAGCACAUAUUUGGGCUACUUCCAUCAUUGUUCUUGGAAAUGGUUUUUCCUUUUGACAUACUGUAUGUUCAGUAUACAACCUGGUCAACACCAUCACAGGCCACAGCACUGACUCCCUCGUGGGCUGUCAGGAGCAUCUCAAAAAGAUUAUGUCUCCACUUAGGCUCAUCAGCUGCUUGUUUUGCAAUGUUCAGGAAAACACGUGUGUGUGUGUUUAUGUGUUUAUGUCAGCGUGAGUUUUGUGUCUGCUGGGGGAAAUGCUGGGUUAGCAUGUUUUUCAGAGUUUGAAGAAUUUCUGUGGCUUAUUUGCUGAUAUGAAUAAAAGUCAGAACAUGUUUUGGAAAGA